rnacentral:rRNA from 2 species
CCGGAGUGGACGAACCUCUGGUGUACCGGUUGUCACGCCAGUGGCAUCGCCGGGUAGCUAUGUUCGGAAGAGAUAACCGCUGAAAGCAUCUAAGCGGGAAACUCGCCUUAAGAUGAGAUAUCCCUGGGGACUAGAUCCCCUUGAAGGGUCGUUCGAGACCAGGACGUUGAUAGGUCAGGUGUGUAAGCGCAGUAAUGCGUUCAGCUAACUGAUACUAAUUGCCCGUAAGGCUUGAUCCU